CCUACGGGGGGCAGCAGUCGAGAAUCAUUCACAAUGGGGGAAACCCUGAUGGUGCGACGCCGCGUGGGGGAAUGAAGGUCUUCGGAUUGUAAACCCCUGUCAUGUGGGCGCAAAUUAAAAAGAUAGUACCACAAGAGGAAGAGACUGCUAACUCUGUGCCAGCAGCCGCGGUAAUACAGAGGUCUCAAGCGUUGUUCGGAAUCACUGGGCGUAAAGCGUGCGUAGGCUGUUUCGUAAGUCGUGUGUGAAAGGCGCGGGCUCAACCCGCGGACGGCACAUGAUACUGGGAGACUAGAGUAAUGUAGAGGGAGCCGGAAUUCCCGGUGUAGCAGUGAAAUGCGUAGAGAUCGAGAGGAACACCGGUGGCGAAGGCGGGUCCCUGGACAUUAACUGACGCUGAGGUACGAAGGCGAGGGGAGCGAAAGGGAUUAGAUACCCCUGUAGUC
rnacentral:rRNA from 1 species